GUACUUUCCUGGCAGGGAGAUCCAUAACACCGAGGUGGAUUUCCCAGGGUGAGUCUCGCCCAUCGCACUCCAGAUAUGCUGACCCCUGAGAUUUCCCCAAAUGUGGAACUGCACUGUAUGAAUUGUGGUAGUGGGGAACUGUGUCUGCAAGUUCCUCC